UACGUAGGGGGCAAGCGUUGUCCGGAAUCAUUGGGCGUAAAGAGCGUGUAGGCGGCCCGAUAAGUCCGCUGUGAAAGUCCAGGGCUCAACCCUGGAAUGCCGGUGGAAACUGUCGAGCUAGAGUCCGGAAGAGGCGAGUGGAAUUCCUGGUGUAGCGGUGAAAUGCGCAGAUAUCAGGAGGAACACCAAUGGCGAAGGCAGCUCGCUGGGACGGUACUGACGCUGAGACGCGAAAGCGUGGGGAGCAAACAGG
rnacentral:rRNA from 1 species